GCAGGCGCGCAAAUUACCCAAUCCCGACACGGGGAGGUAGUGACAAUAAAUAACAAUAUAGGGCUCUAUUGGGUCUUAUAAUUGGAAUGAGUACAAUUUAAACCCCUUAACGAGGAACAAUUGGAGGGCAAGUCUGGUGCCAGCAGCCGCGGUAAUUCCAGCUCCAAUAGCGUAUAUUAAAGUUGUUGCAGUUAAAAAGCUCGUAGUUGAACUUCGAACCUGGUUAGGUGGUCUGCCUUACGGUACGUACUGCUCGGCCGGGUUCUACCUCUUGGUGAGCCGGCAUGUCCUUCACUGGGUGUGUCGGGGAACCAGGACUUUUACCUUGAGAAAAUUAGAGUGUUCAAAGCAGGCCUUUGCCCGAAUACAUUAGCAUGGCAUAAUAAAAUAGGACGUGCGGUUCUAUUUUGUUGGUUUCUAGAGUCGCCGUAAUGAUUAAUAGGGAUAGUUGGGGGCAUUUGUAUUCCGUUGCUAGAGGUGAAAUUCUUGGAUUUACGGAAGACAAACUUCUGCGAAAGCAUUUGCCAAGGAUGUUUUCAUUAAUCAAGAACGAAGGUUAGGGGAUCGAAAACGAUCAGAUACCGUUGUAGUCUUAACAGUAAACUAUGCCGACUAGGGAUCGGGCGAUCUCAAUCUUAUGUGUCGCUCGGCACCUUACGAGAAA
rnacentral:rRNA from 1 species